rnacentral:rRNA from 1 species
UGAGGAACAUGACCUUCGGCGGGGGAUAGCCGGCCCAACGGCCGGGUAAUACCGCGUACGACCACAUGGGGACAUCCCUGAGUGGUGAAAGCAGCAAUGCGCCGAUGGAGUGCCUCGCGGCCUAUCAGCUAGUUGGUGAGGUAACGGCUCACCAAGGCGACGACGGGUAGCCGGUCUGAGAGGAUGGCCAGCCACAUUGGAACUGAGACACGGCCAGACUCCGUAGGAGG